GUGCUUGGCUCAGCAGCACACCUACUCAAAUUGGAAGGAGACAGAGAAGAUUAGCAUGGCCCCUGAACAAGGAUGACAUACAAAUUUGUGAAGUGUUCCAUAAAAAA
rnacentral:snRNA from 1 species